ACACACACCAUGUUGCACCGUCAUGUUUAACCCCCCUCCCCCUCCUCUUCCCCCCCCCCCCCCACUGCUGCAGAAUGGACUGGUCCAGAGAGAGAGAGGGAGGGAGGGAGAGAGACACUGACAGGUAAUGGGCUGAAACUCAUGGAGAGAGAGAGAGAGAGAGAGAGAGAGAGAGAGAGAGAGGCACACUGCUGCUAUCACACACACACACACACACACACACACAGCGGGACUAUAUUUGGGCUGAGCGCAGUAGAACAGUUGAUGACGGAGCUGCUGGAUGUUUCUGACGGACACCGGCACCAACAGACAGACCGCUGAGCUGAAGAAUCUGAGCUGCAGAGAAACUCCAGCCUGAAGAUACGCAGACGCAGAUGUUUUCCUCUCACACUGAAGGCAGAAUAAAAUACCCUGAAUUCAUCUGAUUUAAGUGAAACUGGAUCUUUCUCUGACACAGUGUGUUUGAUCGGAUGUGAAGCCGCCUCGUCACAUUAUCAUAAAACAGAACUAUAAACAGUUCAGUGGACAGAGUGAGUUGAACCUGCUCAACACACUCAGACUGUUCUCGUCCGGUCGGCUGCGGUGGAAGAAGAACUCAGAAAUAUUAAAGAUAUAAAAGUAAAUGAACAUUCAUGCAGAAAUCCUCCAGUGUCAGACUGAAACUGUCACAUUUUAACAGAUUAAUUAUUCAGUGACAGCAGACACCAGCAGAGAUCAAUAACACAGCACACAGAAAUAUGUGUGUGCAGAGAAGAGAAAAG
rnacentral:lncRNA from 1 species